UGGCGCCAAAGAGAGGAGCUGGUUGCUGGUGUUGUGUGACUCUGAACAAUAGCAGUGCCGCGACCUAGGAGCCCAGCGAACGUUUGAGGGUGACUUGGCAGUUGACGGGACCACAGGACCCAGGCGCAUCCGUCAUGUUCUGUGAAAAAGCUAUGGAGCUUGUCCGCGAGUUACACCGCGCGCCGGAAGGACAGCUGCCGGCAUUCAAUGAGGACGGACUCAGACAAGUUCUGGAGGAGAUGAAAGCUUUGUAUGAACAAAACCAGUCAGAUGUGAAUGAAGCAAAGUCAGCUGGACGAGGUGAUUUGAUACCAACCAUCAAAUUUCGGCAUUGUUCUUUGUUAAGAAACAGGCGCUGCACGAUAGCAUACCUGUAUGACCGGUUGCUUCGGAUUAGAGCACUCAGGUGGGAAUAUGGGAGUGUCUUGCCAAAUCCUUUACGAUUCCACAUGUCUGCUGAAGAAGUGGAGUGGUUCAACCAUUAUAAAAAGUCUCUUGCUACUUACAUGAGGUCACUUGGAGGAGAUGAAGGCUUGGACAUCACACAGGAUGUGAAACCCCCCAAAAGCCUAUAUAUUGAAGUAUGUAUACCUACUUUAAUAAUACAUUGUAUUACCUUCUAUCAAAGAUAAAGAUUUACUAGCUUCUCUU
rnacentral:lncRNA from 1 species